GGGCCAGUAGCUCAGUAGGUUAGAGCGUACCCCUGAUAAGGGUAAGGUCGAUGGUUCGAUUCCAUUCUGGCCCACCA
rnacentral:tRNA from 1 species